rnacentral:rRNA from 1 species
UACGAAGGGGGCUAGCGUUGCUCGGAAUUACUGGGCGUAAAGGGAGCGUAGGCGGACUGUUAAGUUAGAGGUGAAAGCCCAGGGCUCAACCUUGGAAUUGCCUUUGAUACUGGCAGUCUUGAGUACGGAAGAGGUAUGUGGAACUCCGAGUGUAGAGGUGAAAUUCGUAGAUAUUCGGAGGAACACCAGUGGCGAAGGCGACAUACUGGUCCGUUACUGACGCUGAGGCUCGAAAGCGUGGGGAGCGAACAGG